GUAAAUGGCACACCAGCUCCAGCUCUCAUUGUGUUCCUCUUUCACCACCCAUCCCUGCAGGACGCAGGCACCAUUUACAGCCACAUGAGUGUUCCCACUUCCCAGAUACCUGCCGAGGUGCCGGGAUGGCUCCAGGUUGGGCAAAGUUUGGGUGCCCUGGCUCCAUUCCUCCCACGGAGGGUUGUGGGUACCUCACCACCCCUGCAUGCGUGUGGUCGGCUGCUCCCAUGAUGCCUGUGUGCGGAUCUGCCUUUGGAAUGCUAUCCUCCAUCCUGCGCCCAGUGUACAUGAGAAAGGACCAGGCAGCGUGACCAACAUGGAGCUGGAAGGGAGCCGAGCUGCCCUGGAAGAGGAGGAGGAGGAGGAUGGCACCAAAUACAAUCUGGAGACAACGGAGCCGCCGUCCUGUCCUGAGACUGCAGGCGCCCGGGCAAAGGACCAAUGCGAUUCCCUACUGGACUCCAUCGACGCUCAGCUCAGCCAGCUGCUGGGCCCUGGUGCAGGAGUCGCAGGUGGUUGCAUGAAUGGAGACACCUCCUUGGAAUGCUCCCCCAAGGCCUCCUGGACAGCAGAGAUGGAAGGAUGCUGUGCAAACCAGGACGGCACCUCCUGGGGCGAAGCCAGCUCCUCUCGGAAGGAGGAGUACGGCUGGAGGCUGAUGCAUCUCCUUGGCUCCAAGCAAGCCCCGGAGACCCUGGGGGACCGAAGUGACUCGAAUUCCAUCUGCACGGAGGACUUUGCUGCCAGGUUUCGGGAAGGCAUGGUCGACCCCCUGGUGAAUUCUGAUGAGGAAGGGGAUGUGCCAGCUGGGAGUUUCCCAGCCAGAGACCCUGCUGAAGAAGGGCACAUCACGGGAAUCAAAGCCAGGCCUGCUGGUCUCUGCCCCACCGUGGAGGCGUGUGGGCCUGCUGCAGAGGGCUUCAUGCUCAGUACAGUGAGGAAGCAGCACAUCCUGCAGCGGUUUGAGGAGGGGCUAGAAGAGAACUCAGCCCUGGCUUUGUCCAGCAGCAUGGAAGGACCCCAGUCCCUGAGCUCUAGGACCAGGAGAGAGAGCCUGGAGUCUCUGGGGGGCAGGAUAUCCAGGCUGAGCCGGAGCAACACCAUGGACACCCCAAGCAGCACAGACAUGGGAAAAGCCAGCGCCACAGGAGGCCGGGCUCCUGGACUAGCUCUGCCUGAGCGGGUGGAGACCUCAGAGGAAAGCAUUCCUUGGCUCCUGGAGGGCUCUUCCAGAUGGGGCCAGAACUCCUGGGAAAACUCCCUACCUUUCAGCAGCCCAUUGCUCGUGGAGGAGCUGUGUCCCAGCCAGCCAUUCAGAGAUCUGGGUGCUGGUGCCGGCACGAGAGCCUGGGCCAGAGAGUCCCACCCUGUGAGGACAGCUCCGAGUCCGUCCGGGAGGAGACAAACUGCAUAUGGACACAUCUGGUCCAACAGUCCCUCUCACUUCGCACCCACAGCAGCCUACGGCAGCCCUUCCCUGGCUUCCAAAGGGGAGAAGAGCCCCCAGCUAAUAGCAUCCCCCUGCCCCGACCAAAGGCUGCCCCCGGAGAAGCUGGGAGAUCAGAGCUCAGCUUUGCAAGGGUUUAGUGCCACAACACAGCUGGCUAGUAGCCCUGAAAGCGCCCAGACACCCCCAGCUGUGGUUAGUGAUGGCUGCGUGGUGAUGCAGGGUGGGGUUGGUUCAGGAGAUCCUGAGAGGGAGGCCCCAGAGCUGCUGCAACAGGGGUCAGUGAUUCCCCAGAGACUGUCUGGAAGGGGCAUCACUCAUGCUGCGGCUAGCGGAGGCAGGGAGGGAACCUGGCGGAGCUGGGAGCUGCAGGCUGGGCCAGCGGAGAGGGGAGUUCGUGGCCUGACACUGUGCGUCCCCGUCACCAGUUUCGACACCGUCACCAUCGACAGUGACCUGGACUCGGUGAGGACGGAGACAGUCCAGGUUCACCUCCGCAAGGCCGUCGGCUGCCGGAGAGCUCCAGGCUGCAGCACCAAGGGGCCCCGCUGCCCACGGAGAGACUCGUUGGGGUGCCUGGGCUCCAGCAGUGCAGUCACUGAGGAAGAGGAGGAGGCGGAGGAAGAGUUCCUGUGGUCUCGUGGCAGUGCCGACUGGAGGAGCAGCAGCCCUGUGAGGUGGAGCUCAAUGCCACGCAGGACAGAAUCCAGUUGGGAGGAUACCAGGAAGGAAGCCUGCACGGAGCACCAGGACCUGGGCACUGAAGAGGAGAGGCUGUUGCAGAGGAAAUCCCAGCUACACGAGGCUGACUUGUCCCUGAGUGACAUCCUGGGUCAGAAAAAGCGCGCGGUCCAGGACCUGGAGUCGCUGCAUGGAGCCUUGGAGAGAAGCCAGAAGGAGGCAGAGACGCUGGAGUCCUGCCUGAAGGAGACUCGAAGCAAAGCGGAUGAAGCCAGGGCAGACCUGCUGCUGCUGCAGUACAGACGGGACUCCUGCCUGCGGGAGCUGCCGGAGCUGGAGAAGGAGCUGAGUGUGCUGAGACAGCAGCACUCCACCAUGCACAGCACCCAGCUAGGGGCCUUCCAGGCCGAGGUCUCCUCACUAGCGGCCGAGCGGGAGGAGCUGAAGGCCCGUGUGCGUCACCUGGAGGGCAGCUUGUCCUUCCUGGAGCACCAGCUGAGCUGCUGCAAGGCAGAGUUGUUCUCUGAGCAGCGGGCAGCCAGAGCCAGCAUCGAGGAGCUGCAGGAGUGCCUGGAGGAAGCUCAGAACAAGCUGGAGGAGAGGACAGCAGAGGGGACAGAGCUCCAGGAGGAGACCACGCGACUGAGACUGCAGCUCAGGGAGCUGGAGAGGAAGCAGGCAGCAGCUCUGAGUGGGCAGAUCCGAGACCUCCGAGUGCAGGAGACGGAGCAGGAGCUGAGACUCUCUGCUCUGAAGAAGAUCCUGUCGGAGAAGGAGCUAGAGCUGGUGAGGCUGCGAGAGGUCAUCUGUGCCCUGACGGCCGAGAAGGAAGCUCAGCAACGCGCUAUGGAGAACCUGAGAGAAGAACAUGACAGGCAGCUGGGGAAGAUGCAGCAGGAGAAGUUUGCAGAGAGUUUGGAGCACGUGAAGGCCAGGGCCCUCCAGGAUCAAGCCGCCUCCUUCCAGAAGGAAGUGGAGAAUCUCAUCAGGGUGAUCAAGGACCGAGAUGAAGAGGUUCGGAGGCAGCGGGAGACCAUGCAGCAACAGAAGGAGUCUACACAGCAGCUGGUCAGAGAGCUGAAGCAGGAAGCCAAGGAGAUGGUUCAGAGUGCUCUGCUUCAGGAGCAAAGGAAGUGGGAGGCUGAGAAGAGGGAAGCCCUCCAGGUGCAGUGUAGGACACUGGAAGAGCAGAGCCAGAGAUCGCAUGCGGAGGCCCUGGACAAAGAGAGGAGGACGGUGUCAGUUUUGCAGAAUAAAACCCUGGAGUACCAGCAGAGGCUCUGACUUCUAAGACACUUCGCAGAGCUAGGAAAUGAAAUGUUCCCCUGACUCUGCUGAUCUGGCACAAUCAUCGUUUCCAGGGAGCUGCAAAGAGGUGCCAUGGUUAUGAUUCUUUUUGAAGGAGCCUGUAGCAUCAAAAAAUGGCUGGCAAAAUAUUCUGCGAUUUUCCAGUGGCUCCAGAGUGAUGGGGAGGUACUGGCAGAGCUUAUGGGUUCAGGAUUACUACUGCUACUAAUUGUGUGAUGUAUCCAGGGUAC
rnacentral:lncRNA from 1 species